rnacentral:tRNA from 2 species
AAGGGAGACCUAAUUCGGGUAGAAGACGAAAAAAUAGUAGUCGAAACCAAGAAUCAAUCCCAAAAGGUCGGAACGAGGUAUGUGGCUUUCAAACUAGGUUCUGGGUUCAUAAAAGACCUGAAUCAGGAACAAGGGCUAUUAGCUCAGGUGGUUAGAGCGCACCCCUGAUAAGGGUGAGGUCCCUGGUUCGAGUCCAGGAUGGCCCACCUGCACAGGUGGCAAAAACAAGAGAAACGAGGAAUCAGCACCUUAUCUUACUUACAUAGUAAGAGAGAAUGCUGGCUCUGAGUAAAGAGUCCAGAGGAACCUUGAAAACUGCAUAGAGCUAGGUGAAAAAGCCAAAAAAGAAGACCGCAA